rfam:Ictidomys tridecemlineatus contig041087, whole genome shotgun sequence.
UGUGUUGUAGCUCAGUGGUAGAGUGCUUGCCUAGCAUAUGUAAGGCACUGAGUUCGAGCUUCAGCACCACAG